UAUGCAACAAGUUUAGACAUAUCAAGCUCACACCGUAAUAGAACUGCUUAGUGAACACAAGUACAGAUUGUGCAUGUGUGCUUAGCUUAACAACAUGCUCUUCUUUGAAUCAAGAACAGAGACACACAAGUUUCAACAUGACUAGUCAUGCGAGUUAAUAGCUCCCAAGUUGAGUACUAGAAUAAAUCUUAAACACUUCGUUACUUAGAACUAACUAUCAUUCAAGUUUACAAGGGAUUUCCACGUCUUCUUUUUAUUUCUAUAAUACUACUAUAUAUAAUUCUUUUUUUUUCACAUGAUCGGUCUAAGAUUGAGACGCUCCUCAGGGUAAGUGAGUUACGACCAUCAAAAGACUUCACAAGCUCAUUUAUCUCUUCUUUUUUUUGUUUUUUUUCAAGUCAAGUAAUUCUCCAAUAAUCAAGGAUAAUGAAAAGUCACCAAGAAAAUUAUAUUUCUAGUACAAUUGCACUUAAUACCAGCACAAAUACAUGGAUCGUCCCUUUCAUUCUCGCCACCCAUUGAUCUCAAAGGAGUACUUGAAACUUUAUUUCUUUUUUUCUUUUUCUUUUUGAAGAAAACAUUUACACCCCACAAUCAUCUCAAACUCAAGCAUUUACGUACUAAGCUCAAAAGGGAAUAGUCAAAAUUCUAAUCAUCAACAAGCGGCUACCCCUCAAGAAG
rnacentral:lncRNA from 1 species